rnacentral:rRNA from 1 species
AACGUAGGACACAAGCGUUAUCCGGAGUUACUGGGCGUAAAGGGCGCGUAGGCGGUCCGACAAGUCAGGGGUGAAAUCCUGCAGCUUAACUGCAGAAGUGCCUUUGAUACUGUCGGUCUUGAGGGAGAUAGGGGUGUGCGGAACUCACAGUGGAGCGGUGAAAUGCGUUGAUAUUGUGAGGAACGCCGGAGGCGAAAGCGGCGCACUGAAUCUCUUCUGACGCUGAGGCGCGAAAGCUAGGGGAGCAAACGGG